rnacentral:tRNA from 1 species
AGGGAUAUAACUCAGCGGUAGAGUGUCACCUUGACGUGG